rnacentral:rRNA from 1 species
UGGGUGAUCUGCCCUGCACUUCGGGAUAAGCCUGGGAAACUGGGUCUAAUACCGGAUAGGACCAUCGUUUAGUGUCGGUGGUGGAAAGUUUUUCGGUGCAGGAUGAGCCCGCGGCCUAUCAGCUUGUUGGUGGGGUAAUGGCCUACCAAGGCGUCGACGGGUAGCCGGCCUGAGAGGGUGGACGGCCACAUUGGGACUGAGACACGGCCCAGACUCCUACGGGAGGCAGCAGUGGGGAAUAUUGCACAAUGGGCGCAAGCCUGAUGCAGCGACGCCGCGUGGGGGAUGAAGGCCUUCGGGUUGUAAACUCCUUUCAACCAUGACGAAGCUGGUCUUAUUGGGUCAGUGACGGUAGUGGUAGAAGAAGCACCGGCUAACUACGUGCCAGCAGCCGCGGUAAUACGUAGGGUGCGAGCGUUGUCCGGAAUUACUGGGCGUAAAGAGCUCGUAGGUGGUUUGUCGCGUCGUCUGUGAAAUUCCGGGGCUUAACUCCGGGCGUGCAGGCGAUACGGGCAUAACUUGAGUACUGUAGGGGAGACUGGAAUUCCUGGUGUAGCGGUGAAAUGCGCAGAUAUCAGGAGGAACACCGAUGGCGAAGGCAGGUCUCUGGGCAGUUACUGACGCUGAGGAGCGAAAGCAUGGGUAGCGAACAGGAUUAGAUACCCUGGUAGUCCAUGCCGUAAACGGUGGGCGCUAGGUGUGGGGGGUCUUCCACGACUUCCGUGCCGUAGCUAACGCAUUAAGCGCCCCGCCUGGGGGAGUACGGCCGCAAGGCUAAAACUCAAAGGAAUUGACGGGGGGCCCGCACAAGCGGCGGGAGCAUGUGGGAUUAAUUUCGAUGCAAACGCGAAGAAACCUUACCUGGGGCUUGACAUAUGCAGGGAUCGGGCGUAGAAGAUACGUUUUUCCCUUGUGGGUC